GCAGAGGCAGGAGAAUCGUUUGAACCCGGGAGGCGGAGGUUGCAGUGAGCCCAGAUUAAGCCAUUGCACUCAAACCUGGGGGACAAGAGCGAGACUUCUCUCAAAAAAAAAAAAAAAGUUUUUUUUUCUUUUCUUUUUUUUUUUUUUUUGAGACAGUCUCACUCUGUCGCCCAGGCUGGAGUGCAGUGGCGGGAUCUCGGCUCACUGCAGCCUAUGUCCCUUGACAGUCCACGGGUUAAAGAGAUUCUCCUGCCUCAGCCUCCCCAGUAGCUGGAUUACAGGCCCCGCCACCAAGGCUGGCUAACUUUUGUGUUUUUAGUAGAGAGGGGGUUUCACCGUGUUGGCCAGGCUGGUCUCGAACUCCUGACCUCAAAUGACCCACCUCUGCCUCCCAAAGUGCUGGGAUUCCAGGCGUGAGCCACCGCGCCGGGACCCAAGGCCCUUAAGUUUUAAGGCCUCAUUCUUCAGUCAGGUUUUCCCUGUUCCCGCGUGUUCGGCCAAUUUUUUGUUGUUGUUGUUUUGUUUUUGUUUUUGUUUUUGAGUCAAUUUUCCAGACAUCUUUAAUUAGCAAUAUGUUUAAGUAGUUACAAGCCUUUCCUUCUUUUCUUGUGACAGUUUGGGUUGAAUUUCUAUCGUUUGCAGCCUGUCACUGUAAGGCACAAACAUGAUCACGCAAGAUGCGAUAGUAGAUUUAAGCCAGUUGUUUUUAAGUUUGUGUUUAAGGAGAAACUAACAAUGAAAACGGCCUCGUUGACGGAGGAAAAGUUGGAAUGCAGCCUCUGGUGCUGUUUGAGCGAUCCCUCUCCCCGGGGCCUGGCCGCGCGCUGCUGUGUUCUGGAAGGGCUCAUUGUACAGUCAAGGCGGCAGGGCCUUCUUCUGUCACCCAUGCUGGAGUGCAGUAGCAUGAUCACAGCUCACGGUAGCCUCCACCUUCUGGGCUCAAUCCUCCUACCUCAGCCUUCCAAGUAGCUGGGACUACAGACUAGCCCUGCUUGCAACUUCCACGUGCAGUCCUCCGCAAUGCUGCCAGAGCGGCAGCUACAACUCUAUGAUUGAAGGCAUCGCCCUCCUGGUUCUCCAUAUUGUUUGCCAUCUUGGACAGAUAAACUAGAUGAGCUCUUUUUUCAACACUCAGAGAAUGUUUUGAAUUCACAUUUCUGCCAUCUUACUCACCUAUUCGAAUCAGUUCCCUCCCCCUCCCUUGUAUCAAAUAUUGUCUCUGAUAAUAAUACAUUGAGUUAUUUGUAGUUCCUGAAGAAUUUCAUGUUCUUAUAACAUGAAAUUUUUUCCCACACUAUUUGUUAUAACUAGUUUACCUAUUUCUGCCUAAAUAAAAUCUUCUCCAAAUUUCAGA
rnacentral:lncRNA from 1 species